rnacentral:tRNA from 1 species
CCCUUCGUGGUGUAGUGGUCAGCAUGCUUAACACGUAUUCAAGAGGUCUGUGGUUCGAGUCCUGGCGAGGGCA